GACGAACGCUGGCGACGUGCUUAACACAUGCAAGUCGAACGGAAAGGCCCUGCUUUUGUGGGGUGCUCGAGUGGCGAACGGGUGAGUAACACGUGAGUAACCUGCCCUUGACUUUGGGAUAACUUCAGGAAACUGGGGCUAAUACCGGAUAGGAGCUCCUGCUGAAUGGUGGGGGUUGGAAAGUUUCGACGGUUGGGGAUGGACUCGCGGCUUAUCAGCUUGUUGGUGGGGCAGUGGCUUACCAAGGCUUUGACGGGUAGCCGGCCUGAGAGGGUGACCGGCCACAUUGGGUCUGAGAGACGGCCCGGACUCCUGCGGUAGGCAGCAGUGGGGAAUAUUGCACAAUGGGCGGAAGCCUGAUGCAGCAACGCCGCGUGCGGGAUGACGGCCUUCGGGUUGUAAACCGCUUUCGCCUGUGACGAAGCGUGAGUGACGGUAAUGGGUAAAGAAGCACCGGCUAACUACGUG
rnacentral:rRNA from 1 species